rnacentral:rRNA from 1 species
AGGACGAACGCUGGCGGCGUGCUUAACACAUGCAAGUGGAGCGACGAACCAGGCUUCGGCCUGGGGCAGAGCCGCGAACGGGUGAGUAACACGUGGGAACCUUCCUAGGGGUACGGAACAACUCAGGGAAACUUGAGCUAAUACCGUAUACGUCCGUGAGGAGAAAGUUUUAACGCCCCUAGACGGGCCCGCGUAGGAUUAGGUAGUUGGUGAGGUAACGGCUCACCAAGCCUACGAUCCUUAGCUGAUCUGAGAGGAUGAUCAGCCACACUGGGACUGAGACACGGCCCAGACUCCUACGGGAGGCAGCAGUGGGGAAUCUUGGACAAUGGGCGCAAGCCUGAUCCAGCCAUGCCGCGUGAGUGAAGAAGGCCUUCGGGUUGUAAACCUCUUUCAGCAGGGACGAAGCGUGAGUGACGGUACCUGCAGAGAAGCGCCGGCCAACUACGUGCCAGCAGCCGC